rnacentral:misc_RNA from 1 species
GAUGAAGAACGCAGCGAAAUGCGAUACUUGGUGUGAAUUGCAGAAUCCCGUGAACCAUCGAGUCUUUGAACGCAAGUUGCGCCCGAAGCCAUUAGGCCGAGGGCACGCCUGCCUGGGCGUCACACGUCGUUGCCCCCCCAUCUACUCCUUCGGGAUUGCGGGGGGCGGAUGAUGGCCUCCCGUGCGCCUCGCCGCGCGGUUGGCACAAAUGCCAAGUCCUCGGCGACGCACGCCACGACAAUCGGUGGUUGCGAAACCUCGGUAGCCCGUCGUGUGCGGUCGUCGCGCAUCGAGGGCUCGAAAAAAUUGCCGGGUUCCGGCUCGGCUUUCAACGCGACCCCAGGUCAGGCGGGGUUACCCGCUGAAUUUAAGCAUAUCAAUAAGCGGAGGA